GACGAACCGUGCGAACGUUGUUCGGAUUCACUGGGCUUAAAGGGCGCGUAGGCGGGCCAGCGAGUCGGGGUGAAAUCCCACGGCCCAACCGUGGAAGAGCUUUCGAUACUGCUGGCCUUGAGGGAGGUAGGGCGUGUGGAACUUCCGGUGGAGCGGUGAAUGCGUAGAUAUCGGAAGGAACGCCGGUGGCGAAAGCGACGCGCUGGACCUCUUCUGACGCUGAGGCGCGAAGCCAGGGAGCAAACGGG
rnacentral:rRNA from 1 species